ACCCAAUUGCCGGGCGUGCUACCAUGCAGUCGAACGAUGAUGCCCAGCUUGCUGGGCGGAUUAGUGGCGAACGGGUGAGUAAUACGUGAGUAACCUGCCCUUGACUCUGGGAUAAGCCUGGGAAACUGGGUCUAAUACUGGAUACUACCUCUUGCCGCAUGGUGGGUGGUGGAAAGGGUUUUACUGGUUUUGGAUGGGCUCACGGCCUAUCAGCUUGUUGGUGGGGUAAUGGCUUCCACACAAGGGCGACGACUGGUAGCCGGCCUGAGAGCGGUGACCUGCCACACUUGGACUCGAGACAUCUGCUCAGACUUCCUACGGGAGGCAGCAGUGGGGCAUAUUGCACCAAUGGGCCGGAAGCCUGAUGCAGCGACGCCGCGCUGAGGGAUGACUGCCUUUCGGGUUGUAAACCUCUUUCAGUAGGGAAGAAGCGAGGAGUGACGGUACCUGCAGAAGAAGCGCCGGCUAACUACGUGCCAGCAGCCGCGGUAAUACGUAGGGCGCAAGCGUUGUCCGGAAUUAUUGGGCGUAAAGAGCUCGUAGGCGGUUUGUCGCGUCUGCUGUGAAAGCCCGGGGCUCAACCCCGGGUCUGCAGUGGGUACGGGCAGACUAGAGUGCAGUAGGGGAGACUGGAAUUCCUGGUGUAGCGGUGAAAUGCGCAGAUAUCAGGAGGAACACCGAUGGCGAAGGCAGGUCUCUGGGCUGUUACUGACGCUGAGGAGCGAAAGCAUGGGGAGCGAACAGGAUUAGAUACCGUGGUAGUCCAUGCCGUAAACGUUUGGGCACUAGGGUGUGGUGGGAGAUUUCUCACGUUUUUUCGCGCCGUAGCUGCAAGGCAUUAAGUAGCCCCCGCCUGGGGGAAGUACUGGCCGCCCCGGCUACCAACUACAAAAAAAGUUAUUUACGGCGGGCCCUUUUGCACAAGCGGCGGAGCAUGCGGAUUAAUUUCGAUGCAAUGUCUUAGAACAGAAUCCUUUCCAGGGACAUGCUUUGGACAUAUCUACCGUACCGCCCCAGAGGUGUGGGUUUCCAUUUAUGGUGGGCUGGUGGACACUGGCUAGGUGCAUGGACUCGUCCCGUCUGCUCCUGUGUCCCCGUAGAGGUGUUGGGUUAAGUCCACGCGAAGGGGCCCCCGCAACCCUUUUUUUCUAUGGUUCCGCCAUAGCAAUCGUGAUGCGUGCGCGGACUUAGUAGGAACGAUCUGCGCGGAGUGUCACCUCGGAGGGAGAGGGUGUGGGAUGACGUCAAAUCACCCUCCAGUGCGCCCUUUAUUGUUCCUCCUGGGCUUCUACGCCUGACUACAAUGGCCGGUACAAAGGGUUGCGAUACUGUGAGGUGGAGCUAAUCCCAAAAAGCCGGUCUCAGUUCGGAUUGAGGUCUGCAACUCGACCUCAUGAAGUCGGAGUCGCUAGUAAUCGCAGAUCAGCAACGCUGCGGUGAAUACGUUCCCGGGCCUUGUACACACCGCCCGUCAAGUCACGAAAGUUGGUAACACCCGAAGCCGGUGGCCUAACCCCUUGUGGGAGGAGCCGUCGAAGUGAGCUCGUUCCC
rnacentral:rRNA from 1 species